rnacentral:misc_RNA from 1 species
GAUGAAGAACGCAGCGAAAUGCGAUACUUGGUGUGAAUUGCAGAAUCCCGUGAACCAUCGAGUCUUUGAACGCAAGUUGCGCCCGAAGCCACUAGGCCGAGGGCACGCCUGCCUGGGCGUCACACGUCGUUGCCCCCCCCCCAUCUACUCCUUCGGGAUUGCGGGGGGCGGAUGAUGGCCUCCCGUGCGCCUAGCCGCGCGGUUGGCAUAAAUACCAAGUCCUCGGCGACGCACGCCACGACAAUCGGUGGUUGCGAAACCUCGGUUGCCCGUCGUGUGCGUUCGUCGCGCAUCGAGGGCUCGAAAAAAUGCUCGGCUCCGGCUCGGCUUUCAACGCGACUCCAGGUCAGGCGGGGUUACCCGCUGAAUUUAAGCAUAUCAAUAAGCGGAGGA